GCCCGCCCCUUCCUCAUCCUCUGUGUAAAAGGAACCGGAAUUCUGACCGGGAAAAGCUGGUUCUUUGAGGCAUUAGUGCCGUGACCUCUCAGGCUGAUGGCUUUCUGAUUAAAGUCGUUAUUCCUGCCCCAGGAACUUGCCUCCCGAUGUACUGGUCUUUCGUGUGGUGAGCAGAAGUCCUUAUCAACUCUGUCAGAAGUGACCGGACCAUCUCUCCUGUGGAGUGGAAUCUCAGUCACGUCCAACUCUUUGCAUCCCUAUGGACUAUGGCCUGCCAGGCUCCUCUGUCCAUGUGAGUCUCCAGGCAAGAAUACUGGAGUGGAUUGCCAUGCCCUUCCCCAGGGGAUCUUCCCAACGC
ensembl:lncRNA